CCUACGGGCGGCAGCAGUGGGGAAUAUUGCACAAUGGGCGCAAGCCUGAUGCAGCCAUGCCGCGUGUGUGAAGAAGGCCUUCGGGUUGUAAAGCACUUUCAGCGGGGAGGAAGGCGGUGAGGUUAAUAACCUCAUCGAUUGACGUUACCCGCAAAAGAAGCACCGGCUAACUCCGUGCCAGCAGCCGCGGUAAUACGGAGGGUGCAAGCGUUAAUCGGAAUUACUGGGCGUAAAGCGCACGCAGGCGGUCUGUCAAGUCGGAUGUGAAAUCCCCGGGCUCAACCUGGGAACUGCAUUCGAAACUGGCAGGCUAGAGUCUUGUAGAGGGGGGUAGAAUUCCAGGUGUAGCGGUGAAAUGCGUAGAGAUCUGGAGGAAUACCGGUGGCGAAGGCGGCCCCCUGGACAAAGACUGACGCUCAGGUGCGAAAGCGUGGGGAGCAAACAGGAUUAGAACCCGGUAGUC
rnacentral:rRNA from 1 species